UCCUGUUCUGCAGGGAGAGGGAUGAGAACCUUCGAUUAAGGUUCGGGUCGAGCUUACGAGACAACGCGCUUUAGCACGGCCCGAAGGGUGAGGCGCAACGCGCCGAAUAAUCCUUCUCCCACCACCA
rfam:Pantoea vagans C9-1, complete genome.